GGGGUUUCAGUCACUUCCCUUCCGGGUGGUUUGGUUCUCGCCUUUUCUUUGGCUGUGGAGGCAAGAUCUAACACGAGAUGGAAACUGUUCCAGAAAAAGAACUACAUGAAGAACUUAUUGCUGGCAAAUCUGGCAACAAAUUGCAAGUGACAGCCAGGUUAAGACUCCAUGAAAAAAAGUUAUCAGUUCCACCCCGACAAGGUGAUUUUCCUAACUAGGUUGGAGCAGGCAUAUCUUGUCACAAUUAAGAGGUUUCUCUCUCGAGUAUAAUUUGCAGUGGUCACUAAGUGUUGAUCUACGACUGAAGCCUUUUCCACAUUGCUCACGUGUGAAUGGCUUCUCUACAGUGCAGGGAAUCUCUGAUGAGUUUGCAGACAUGAACUCUGACGAAAUUCAUACUUAACAUCAUUUUCUCCCAUGUGACAUCUGAUGAAUGCAGAGUGCUAAACUGUCAAAGAAGUGUUUCCCACACUCCUGACAUGUAUGAGAAUUCUCUCCUGAGUUUAACUGUUGAUGAAGAUCCAAGUUGGAAAAAUCGCUGAAGAACGUUUACACUCAUUUCCUUGGAAAGGUUUCUUAGGACUCAUACUUCUUCCCUCACACAUUACACCAACUCAUCCCUAUUAAGCGGGAGCUAGCUCAUCUACAUCCUGUUUGUCCUCAUGUGGCCAGAGGGUGGCCAACACCUCAGCUCAUCACUUGGGGAGCUGGCAACACUGGGGCAAUGGAGCUGACAAACCCUUGCAUUUCCACCAUGCCGUACUAUGUUUCCUUCAUGGCCCUGCUCACUGGGCCAAGCUGUAAGGCAGAUAACUGGUGCAUUGUACUCUAUUCCCAUGGGAUUGAUAAUCAGUGCAUAAUAACCCACUCCACCAGCAUCUCCUUGGCAAGUUCUAUUUAUGGACAUGUGGCUUGUGAUUGGCAGUUGGUUCACUGCCAGUGGCAUCUGUCCCAGAAGAAUAUAAAACUUUGUUCACUGAA